GCCGUCCUCUAAAAAGCGAUUGUCCUCCACAGAAGGAGGGGGGCAGGCGCACACCCCACCACGUACUGUCUGGCGCUCACCACAUAUUGGACGCUCUGUAAAUUUUUGUUUUCGAUUUUUUUUCGCCGUCGCCGUCCGCUAAGCUCCGAAACGCCAUCUUAACAGACGCCACACAGAGUGUCGGAGUAUCGAAACACCCAGCCCUUCAAGACGCACGGCGCCAACGCGUGCUCUCUGAACCCAACACCGCCACCACCCUCUGUUUCUCUCCCUCCUCGUCCACAUACAGCCUCGCCCUUACUACUGCAGAGCUGUCACACCUGAGGCUGAGGGGGUGUACGCGAUGCCAACAGCAGACAAGCCGAAGCCGUGCAAGCGGUUUGGGACCUUUGGCGAUCCCGACCGCGUGCUCACGCAGGUAGAGAGGGAGUUCUACGCAAAUAUGGCACGCAUGCGCAAAAAGCGCACGCAGAAAAAAGAGAAGCCGCCGGCAGAGGGCGCGCACCGAAAGGGCAAGGAGAAACGAGGCAACGAAAGCGAGAUGUCGCGGGAGAAGUCCACAGACAAGCUGUUCGCGCUCCGCAAGCGUUCUCUGACACCGGCUGACGCUGCCUCGAGGAGCGCGCUGCCAGCGCCCUCCUCCCCACCGCGCGACAACCGCCUCGCCGUGCUCUCGGCGGUAUGUCUCCUGGAUCGCGCUGCCCCGCUUGUCGAGGAGCCGGACCGUCGCAAACCCCGGGAUCGCGCAGCAUCGGAGUGUGUUUCCAGUUGUACCCAGCACAUGCCAGAGCCGAGGCGAGGCUUCGGCUUCAAUGACCAGCAUGCGCCAGAGAGCCUCUGCAAACCUGGCGACUCCAUUCUUCUCCCGUCUCGUUAUCAGAGUGCACGGUCGGGUCACGAGAACACGCCGCGCUGGCAGCGCCAACGGCGCGCUCCCAAGGGUCUACUGGUGUCUGCAGGUAAUUCGCCUGACCACACCCCUGAUGUGCCUCUGGAGACCGGGCUCGUGGAAAAGUUACAGCGGAUGAAGGUCUUGAGCGUGCCGCAAACAGCGUCGCAGGAAUUUCCCAAGCGUGGAAACUCCAACCCGUCAAGCGUCAUGAGCGGUGGUGGCGAUGGUGAGAAUGUUGACUUGUCGCGCGUUGCCGGCCUCAGUGACGACAAGGCGGGCGUGGAGGGUCGCAUCGGCAUGGCACUCGGCGCGCACCACCGCGAAUAUUUCAGCGGCGGCUCUUUCCGUAUUCAUGGACUGACGGACGAGCAGAUGCCAACGCUAGAGGUUCUCGCCGCCAUCGAGAAACUGUUGAAAGUGCGGAAAGAGUCGAAGACGACGUCGAUGAGAACCGAUCGUACGACGAAGCAGGAGCCCAAAGAGGAGGCAGCAACCCAGAAGCGACGAGAUCACGGAAACGCUCAUAGUGCACCGACGCCAAAACCCAAGGCGACGGCAUCGGCUGGAAAGGGUUCGCAGGCGCGGGCAUCGAGCUUCCCGUCGCUGAUCAGAUCGGCAUUACAAGCAGCGGCAGCAGCCAUCACACCGGCGCGCACGUCGCCGUCUUUGUCGAGAGCAGAGGCAAGGUGUGCGGCUCCCUCGCCCCCCCUGGCGCAGCCACUCCCAGCCCUGCAUGCCAAUGACGCAGGGAGGCAUGCCCAAAAGGGUUCAUCUGAAACCAGGAGGCAGGCAAGCCGCCAGCCGCCCGCAUGCGUGUCAGGCAAGAGUCGAGGAGCGAGCUCCUCGCGCAGCCGUAAAGGCGGAUUCCCAGGCCCCUUUUGCUGCAUCAAUGGCAAAGCAUCACGGCACGGGCUGGCGGAAAAGAUGGGUCGGCGAGCGGCACAGGGUGCCUUGAGAAAGGAUGUCUACACGCAAACAAAGUCUCCAAGCGGCGCUACGGCAGUCGACGAGGCAUGUCGCCAGUACGUUGAGCAGUGUCGUCGUGAGGAGCAGGAGCUCAAAAAAUUGAUUGAGUGGGAGCGGCAACGUGCAGGCACGGCGCCUGGGAAAGUCAGCGCCGCUAUCUACUCCGCCGCGCUCAGCGGGACGACGACAGGUGGAGACAGCGCAGUAGCAGCGUCUUCUUCUCCGGCUAGGAAGGUUGCCGGUGUCUCCGCCUUCUCUCACCAUCGCCCGACUUCAGCGACCAGUUUGGGUGCGCCCACGGAGGAAAGGGUGAGCCCCAGAAGCAGCUCCGCGGAUCGCACAAAACGGAGACGCAGCCCUGCCUGCCGCAAUGGACGGCCAACGCCGCUGUCGUGCACGGAUCUGGGUCACCUGAACACAAACAAGUCUACUCGACAGCGCAGCGGCUCGCGGCCACCCGCGCACGCGUACCCCUUCCUCGCUGGAAUGGCAGACGAUGCGUGCGAUGCGUCAAGCGAGAGCACGCCAUCUGCUCAGCCGAAAAUCGCAUUCGCAGGUGCUGGCGGCGGCGGCGUCUCUCCAAACAAAGCCGCCCGUAUGACCGCCGUCACCAUACCAACCCCCAUGCGCGAGGCGGGCGGUUCUCGGAGCCGACCCGUCGAGGCCCACCUGCAAGACCCCGACAAUCUAGCGUCUUUCACCGCCGCCCUCUUCUACGAGCCAUCGUCUGCAGAGGAGUCUCACAUGAGCUCCCGUGCCAUCAGUGUUGUGGACAUAUCAUCCACUGCGAACCACUGCGGCACUUCAGAGUCCGUCUCAGUGGCGGAGGAAACAGUGCAGGAGAUGGUAAAGGCGUACAGCACAGCAGACUCGCCGCAGAUGAACACGCUACACGAGAACGCCGGCGCACGCAGUGAUCCGACCCGUCAGCGAGCUAACUCCGUUGGCGUAGCGACAGAGCCGUCCUCAUCACCGUCUGCUGGACAACGCGAGUCCCGACAGGGCGUACUGAGUGGUGCACCAGUGCACACAGCGUCUUUUGAUGGCUCAGGGAUUGGCGUGAGCAUCGACGAUGCUUACGAGACCGGCAGCGACCUCUACGUCUUUCCGUUCCUGCUAGAGUGCCGAGGCGGCACUUCGCCACAGCAGCAGAAUGUGCAUGUCAAGACGCCCUUGUGCCCUCAACGGCCGAGGUAGCGCUGACGCCCGACCGCGCUCUGGAGAACUAAAGUGGCACGGGUAAUGUAAACAAACAGAGCGAACAACAACAACAAAAAGGAAACGCCGCAAUGUCGACACUCGCGCGUCGGUCGUGUAUGCCCCGCUAUCCUGCCUACGAUAGCAGCGCCGUACGGUGGAUACGUACGUGCAUGCGGGUGGGUAGGUUCUUGCAUGUGGAUGUCUGCGUGCUUCUCUUUUUUUUCUUCGGUUCCUUCUCGUGUUCGGGGGCCAGCAGACUCCUGGCUAUGGUGGCUGCUGCUCUUCGCUUACACCCUGGUAUGGUUUUCUUGAUUAACGCCUGUGUGUGCUUUAUGUUUAGCGACCCCUCUCUCUCUGUUGUGCGCUUGUCUUUCCUUUUUCUUGUGGGUGUCGUGUGUGUGGUAUGCGUGCAAUCCCGUCCCCCCUCAUCCUCUCCCUUAUCCGUUGCCUCCCGUGAUUUCCCUUGCUGGCGCGUCCUCGCUCUGCGGCGCAUGCGUGUUGUUCCUCUCGGCCUCUUUGUUUUUUUUUGUUUUUGCGUUGAUUCUGCCCGUGUUGGGGUGAUGCUUUCCCUCCUCUCCCCUCCUUCUCCUCCUCGCUUCGCACGUGCGCGCCGUGUCUGCCUUUGUGUUGGGUAUUCGCGGGAAUUGCUUUCUUGCAUUGCGUCGACUCGGGCUGCAAUGUCUGGCAGUGCAAGCACGGUGCGCACGCGCUGUCAAGCACCGCCGGCACGGCGCCUCGCAUCCGAAGAAAGCAUGCAGAGGCGCGAAGAGACGCAUGCGAGCGAGCCGCCGUGUGCAUGUGCGCGGAGCAUGCGGAACGUCCCCCACCCGGCCGUGUGGGCUGCUGAGGCACAGAUGCCCGGGGGGGGCAUGACGCGAGCACCCCGAAUGGCAGCAUCGGGUCGUCCGGGCACCCAUGUGGCGAGUCUCCACACCGUACUAUGGCAUGCCGCUGCUUGAGGCGACGGAGAGCGCGAGGGAGGGCGCACAGGCGGAGCACAGGGCCCCCUGGAGGCCCUGGCCUGCGGCUGGCCAACUGAUUCCGUGAGCCCGUGCGGCAUGCACCUGGGCCACCACCACCCCUCUACUACGCGCACGGCGGACGCCGGUGCCUCCGCCCUUGAGCAGGGCCCUGGACGCUGCCCGCGUUGGGUCCAGGCGCGCAGUGCACCCAGGUCGGUCUGGUGCCGGUGGCGCAGCACGCGUGCGAGGGAGGGGCGAGGAAGGACAAGAAGAGACCGUGAGACGCAUGUCCCCGCUUCGGCGGCAGCCGUCUCGCCCUAGAGGGCCAAGAUGCCGCCGUGGUGCAGCGGAGGCGUCUGCGCUGUGGUUGUGUGUAUGCGUAUAUUAGCUGACCUCGUCGAGGGUGGAAUCGGGCACGCGUUGAGGGAGGGGGAGAGAAGCUCGCACACGGUACUUUAAUGGUGAUGUCGGACUGAUGAAGCACCCGCCGAUGCUUCAUCUCACAAUGAAAAUUCAUGUCCAAGCUACCCCUGUUCCCCCCAAAGACAUGGGAGUAUUGGGGCACAUGAACCGUUACUUCCGUGACGACAAGCCAUAGUUAAACUACUGUGUCGGGUAUGCACAGUGCAGUCUUGUGUCUUGAUUUCUUUUACCCUCGUAUACGCACUACGUUCAUGUGUCACUGUGUCUCUUUUUGUGUUUCUAAGCGUGUCUUUGUUUCCCUUCUUCUAUCGACUUCUCUGGGCACCCGGUCCACGGGCUCUCCCCGCCCUCUUCCCAUGACCUUCCUCGCCCGUUCUCUCGCACUCGCCUCUUCACCGAUGGGCUUCCGCUGGUGCGUUGUACGCCUAUCCAGUCUUGCUUGCGACGGUGUUGGCCGCCUGUUUUUGUUGUUUUGUGCUGUUUUUCAUCCGCCACGUCUCUUACGUCCACUGAGCGCUGCCGGCGCGCUCUAUGGCAUUUUCCCUGUUUUUCCUUUUGCCGCUUGCAGACGGUUGUUCUCUGAUUUCAGCCUCACAGCCUUGCUGUGCUCGUGCAUCUCCACUUGUGUGCUUCCCUUCACGGCAGUGCACGCUGCGUCACCAGCUUUCCGUGCCCUUGUGGGCAGCAUAGGCAAGAGCAAGUGCCCUCCCUUCGUCUCUUUUCUCUCUGGAGAAAAGAGAAGGAAAAGCGGAACUUCCAGAACUCAAGAUUUGAUGCUUGCUCGAUUCGCGUGCGUGUGUGUGUGGAAGUUCCUCUGUUUGUUGUAUCUUUCGCAGCGUGUAUCCUCUCGUGGCACUUGAUGCGACUCGGUGUAUGUCUGUAAUAUCUGUCGCGUCGCUGUGUGUUGUGCGCGCCCCUCACGGCGGUGGGCUGACCCUCUCCCUCCCACACACACACACGCACACACCACCAUCACCUCUCCCUCCCUCAUCCUUCAGCCCCGGCGUGCAUUCUUCACUUUCCUUCUCUUUGGUGUGUGUGCAACGUUUUACCCUGAGUUUUUUUUUGCCCCUGUGUGCCGCGUCCUCAUAUCUUUUGUGUGUCCCUUCCCCUUCGUUCUCGGUUUGUUCUUCUCUGCUCGUGGUGUUCUUCGCCGUUGAUUCUACUUUCGAUUUUGUCUUCUGUUUUGCGUGGGCGCACCUGUGAGCGUCACCUGUCGGGUUGGUCGCACCCCCUCGUCCCCCUCCCACUUUACUCGGAAGCGCGCACAACCAAAGACGAUAGCGCGUGUGUAUCCGUAGGUUACACUACUCGGGGGCGGGAGGGGGCAGGGCUUGUAUCGCAGUUGCAUGCUCUUUGGGGGGUGUUUGAUGUGAUGAGCCUUCGCCCCAUAAUCCGCAGCCAACAGAAGCAGAGAAGGGAUGUCAAGACCACUGACUUGUGUACGUUUUCUGUCAUAAACCUGUCUCAGUGUCUGUCGCCAUAGCAUCAGAGGCGAAGGAGGCUGCUUGAAAUUGGCAGACGCAGGUGCCCCUUCGCCACUCACCUCCCCACACACACACACACACACUCACGCACACACCUCGGUUUCCGAGCCUGCUCCUCUUCGCCUUCUCCUUGUUGUUAGCGAUUAGCUCUUGUUGUCCUUCAUGGGCGCUCCUCUUCUUGGAGCUGUGCCGCACGUGUGUUUGCUAUUUCUUCGCAUGCCCUUCCUCUUCCCACACCCCCGCCUGGCCUCGCCGGUCUUUCUCAUGUAUCUCCUUCGACUCGUCUGGCUUUGUCUCUGUGCCCCCUACGUUCACUGCAGCUUCGUCUCUCUCGGGCGCGCGCGCAUCGUGUGCGUGGCGGCUCCCUCGUGCCUGUAUGCGCGUCGCGCGCUUCGCCCUCACUCGUAGGCGCACACGAUUGCCCGGAUGUGUCUCGUGUUCGUCUCUCCGCCCCUCUUUUAAUUCUGCCUCUCGUGUAUCUCCUGCGCGCACUGCCCUGCCGCCUUUCCUGUCGUGAGGGCCAUCUACACGAAAGCGUCCUCCCUGCCGUUCCACCUCUCCCUCCUCUCGCGCAUCCGCGUCUUAUCCUGUCCGGACCAGGGAAGAAGCAAGCGCGCUCAAAGACCCGAUCUGCGGAACGUGGCAAAGACAGGUAAGCGUUUGAUUCCAAGAUGAAUCAUGUAUGCUGUGGUUGCACAACGCUGCUACUCUUUUCGUGGCUGCUGUCUGUUGUAGCCCUCUCUCACUUUCUGCCGGCGGCUUUUUCGCCUUCGUGGCUGCGGUGCUCCCCGUGCGGGCAGUCCUCCCCGCGUGAGCCCCACAAGUAAGUGGCGGAUGCGUAUGAGCAGACGACACUUCGGCGGUAGAUGGCCUCCCUUUUUUUUUUCGUUUCGAUAUGGAUCCCCUUCGUGCUGUAACGGCAAUGAUCCGCCCUCCCUUUGCUGUUGCGUUACUCACAUACGGGGGGUGGGAGGGAGGGGAGCGCGUACCUCCUCCUCUGCCCGUGAUGCUCCCCUCGCCUUUCUUGUCUUCUUCACCUUUUUCACUUUCACAAUGAUUUUUUUUUUCGUUUUGUUUGCACUCAAGUGUAUGUGCGUGUGUGUGUGUGUGUGUGUGUGCCGGUGUGUGAUAACAGAGUUGUGCGCCAAAUCGGAAGCAACCUUCGGGUGGUUGCGGAUGCUUGGCAAGGGAGAGGGCAGCGCCUCCCUCCCGAAGCGCUCAUCGCAACCCGUCAGAAUGACUUUUUAGUGUGGCAGCCACAAGAGGUCACCCAAGGAAAGGCGGA
rnacentral:misc_RNA from 1 species